GAUUCCGUAGUGUAGCGGUUAUCCCAUCUGCCUAACACGCAGAAGGUCCCCGGUUCGAGCCCGGGCGGAAUCA
rnacentral:tRNA from 1 species